GUGCUAAGGUAGCAUAAUAAUUUGUCUUUUAAUUAAAGACUAGAACAAAAGAUUAAACAUUUUAAUUUAUUUAUUAACUAUUUAUUAAAAUUAUCUUAAAUGUAAAAAGACAUUUAUGGUAAAGAAAGACGAUAAGACCCUAUUGAACUUUACUUUAGUUUAACUGGGGCAGUUAAUUAAUUAAUAUUUUAAUAAUAAUACAAUUUAAUUAAUCUACUUUAAGUAAUAAUUAAGUUACCAUAGGGAUAACAGCGUUAUAUUUUUUAAAAGAUCUUAUUUAAAAAAAAGAUUACGACCUCGAUGUUGAAUUAAUUAUCUAUUAAAUGCAAUAAUUUAAAAAGUAAGUCUGUUCGACUUUUAAAUAAUUACAUGAUUUGAGUUCAAACCGGUGUAAGCCAGGUUGGUUUCUAUCUUCUAAAAAUUUUUUCAUAGUACGAAAGGACCAGAAAAAUUAAUUUUAUUAAAAAUUUGGCAGACAAAUGCAUUAGAAUUAGAAUCUAAUUAAAUAAUC
rnacentral:rRNA from 1 species